UAUGGUAGUAGAAUAUUCCAGCCCAUUUAUCUCUCUGGUAAGGUCAGUAAUAAAACUAUUCAUAUCUAUUCCAGAUAAAUCUUAAAUCAUCAGUAAAUAUAUGUGUUACCUGAUGAGAGACAAACUUCUCCGGAUGAAUAAGAUUGGUACCCGAUUUCUACAGAAGCAGAUUCAGGGGCCUCAGGAAUUAGUGGAAGAAGGGAAGAAAUUCUUCACAAACUGAAGACUAAGUUUGAAGCUUCAAUGUCUGCAACAGAUUAAAAUGUGCUAAAGAAGACAGAGUAACUGAUGAUUUUGGCAUCCUUCGGUCCUGUGUGGGUGGGUGGUUUCCAUGACAGCGUGACAAAGCUCGGGGCCCGGAUCACCUCGUGUAGGUCGACUGGCACAGACGGCAAG